rnacentral:rRNA from 1 species
AUCGAGGUUAAAGGUACCCGUACCGCAAACCGACACAGGUGGGUGAGGAGAGUAUCCUAAGGCCAGCGAGAGAACUGUUGUUAAGGAACUCGGCAAAAUGACCCCGUAACUUAGGGAUAAGGGGUGCCACCAUCAGGUGGCCGCAGAGAAUAGGCCCAAGCGACUGUUUACCAAAAACAUAGGUUUCUGCUAAGUCGAAAGACGAUGUAUAGGAGCUGACGCCUGCCCGGUGCUGGAAGGUUAAGGGGAUCUGUUAGAGCAAUCGAAGCAGUGAACUUAAGCCCCAGUAAACGGCGGCCGUAACUAUAACGGUCCUAAGGUAGCG